AACGAACGCUGGCGGCAGGCUUAACACAUGCAAGUCGAGCGCCCCGCAAGGGGAGCGGCCGACGGGUGAGUAACGCGUGGGAACGUACCUUUUGGUUCGGAACAACUCCGGGAAACUGGAGCUAAUACCGGAUAAGCCCUAACGGGGAAAGAUUUAUCGCCGAACGACCGGCCCGCGUCUGAUUAGCUAGUUGGUGAGGUAACGGCUCACCAAGGCGACGAACAGUGGCUGGUCUGAGAGGAUGACCAGCCACACUGGGACUGGGACACGGCCCAGACUCCUACGGGAGGCAGGAGUGGAAAAUAUUGGACAAUGGGCGCAAGCCUGAUCCAGCCAUGCCGCGUGAGUGAUGAAGGCCUUAGGGUUGUAAAGCUCUUUUGUCCGGGAAGAUAGUGACUGUACCGGAAGAAUAAGCCCCGGCUAACUUCGUG
rnacentral:rRNA from 1 species